rnacentral:tRNA from 1 species
GGAGAGGUGCUCGAGUGGUUGAAGAGGCACGCCUGGAAAGCGUGUAAACGCCUAAAGCGUUUCGGGGGUUCGAAUCCCCCUCUCUCCG